UUAGCUUGUUGGUGGGGUAACGGCUCACCAAGGCGACGAUCCCUAGCUGGUCUGAGAGGAUGACCAGCCACACUGGAACUGAGACACGGUCCAGACUCCUACGGGAGGCAGCAGUGGGGAAUAUUGCACAAUGGGCGCAAGCCUGAUGCAGCCAUGCCGCGUGUAUGAAGAAGGCCUUCGGGUUGUAAAGUACUUUCAGCGGGGAGGAAGGGAGUAAAGUUAAUACCUUUGCUCAUUGACGUUACCCGCAGAAGAAGCACCGGCUAACUCCGUGCCAGCAGCCGCGGUAAUACGGAGGGUGCAAGCGUUAAUCGGAAUUACUGGGCGUAAAGCGCACGCAGGCGGUUUGUUAAGUCAGAUGUGAAAUCCCCGGGCUCAACCUGGGAACUGCAUCUGAUACUGGCAAGCUUGAGUCUCGUAGAGGGGGGUAGAAUUCCAGGUGUAGCGGUGAAAUGCGUAGAGAUCUGGAGGAAUACCGGUGGCGAAGGCGGCCCCCUGGACGAAGACUGACGCUCAGGUGCGAAAGCGUGGGGAGCAAACAGGAUUAGAUACCCUGGUAGUCCACGCCGUAAACGAUGUCGACUUGGAGGUUGUGCCCUUGAGGCGUGGCUUCCGGAGCUAACGCGUUAAGUCGACCGCCUGGGGAGUACGGCCGCAAGGUUAAAACUCAAAUGAAUUGACGGGGGCCCGCACAAGCGGUGGAGCAUGUGGUUUAAUUCGAUGCAACGCGAAGAACCUUACCUGGUCUUGACAUCCACGGAAGUUUUCAGAGAUGAGAAUGUGCCUUCGGGAACCGUGAGACAGGUGCUGCAUGGCUGUCGUCAGCUCGUGUUGUGAAAUGUUGGGUUAAGUCCCGCAACGAGCGCAACCCUUAUCCUUUGUUGCCAGCGGUCCGGCCGGGAACUCAAAG
rnacentral:rRNA from 1 species